CCUACGGGUGGCAGCAGUGGGGAAUAUUGGACAAUGGGCGAAAGCCUGAUCCAGCCAUGCCGCGUGUGUGAGGAAGGCCUUCGGGUUGUAAAGCACUUUCAGUGGGGAAGAAAGCCUUGGGGCUAAUACCCUCGAGGAAGGACAUCACCCACAGAAGAAGCACCGGCUAACUCCGUGCCAGCAGCCGCGGUAAUACGGAGGGUGCGAGCGUUAAUCGGAAUUACUGGGCGUAAAGCGCGCGUAGGCGGUCUGAUAAGCCGGUUGUGAAAGCCCCGGGCUCAACCUGGGAACGGCAUCCGGAACUGUCAGGCUAGAGUGCAGGAGAGGAAGGUAGAAUUCCCGGUGUAGCGGUGAAAUGCGUAGAGAUCGGGAGGAAUACCAGUGGCGAAGGCGGCCUUCUGGACUGACACUGACGCUGAGGUGCGAAAGCGUGGGUAGCAAACAGGAUUAGAUACCCUAGUAGUC
rnacentral:rRNA from 1 species